UACGUAGGGGGCCAGCGUUGCUCGGAAUUACUGGGCGUAAAGGGUUCGUAGGUGGUGCGGCAAGUUGGAAGUGAAAUCUCUGGGCUUAACCCAGAGGCUGCUUUCAAAACUACCGUGCUUGAGUGUGGGAGAGGCGCGUGGAAUUGCAGGUGUAGCGGCGAAAUGCGUAGAUAUCUGCAGGAACACCCGUGGCGAAAGCGGCGCGCUGGACCACUACUGACGCUGAGGAACGAAAGCUAGGGGAGCAAACAGG
rnacentral:rRNA from 1 species